rnacentral:rRNA from 1 species
GAUGAACGCUAGGCUACAGGCUUUAACACAUGCAAGUCGCGGGGUAACAUCUGGUAGAGCUUUGCUCUUCCAGGAUGACGACCGGCGCACGGGUGAGUAACGCGUAUCCAACCUGGCCCAUACCACGGGAUAGCCCGUCGAAAGGCGGAUUAAUACCGUAUGCUGUCAUUAAGAGGCAUUUUUUGAUGACGAAAGGACUGGCGGUAUGGGAUGGGGAUGCGUCUGAUUAGCUUGUUGGCGGGGUAACGGCCCACCAAGGCGACGAUCAGUAGGGGUUCUGAGAGGAAGGUCCCCCACAUUGGAACUGAGACACGGUCCAAACUCCUACGGGAGGCAGCAGUGAGGAAUAUUGGUCAAUGGGCGAGAGCCUGAACCAGCCAAGUAGCGUGCGGGACGACGGCCCUAUGGGUUGUAAACUGCUUUUAUAAGGGAAUAAAGUUAGUCUCGUGAGACUUUUGCAUGUACCUUAUGAAUAAGGACCGGCUAAUUCCGUG